UACCGCGGUUAUACGAGGAGCCCAAGCUGACAGUCUCCGGCGUAAAGGGUGGUUAAUGAGAACCUAGCAACUAAAGCCGAACAUCUCCAAGGUUGUAUAAUACAUUCGAAGAUAUGAAGCUCAACUACGAAAGUGGCUUUACACCUCUUGAAUCCACGAAAGCUAGGAAA
rnacentral:rRNA from 1 species